GUGCGAUGUUUUUUUUGGUUCUAUGUAAAACGAUGAUAUUGAAAGUAAACAGUGUUGCCAAACAAUUAAAAAAAAGACCACUGUUUCUGUUCUUGAAGGCCUGUACUCAUCGGCAACACUGUUUUUCGAUCUGUUUCUUUGCGCCUUUUUCUUUGACGUCAUCGCAGGACGCUACACACUGUGUGCGCCAUUUGCAUUGGAUCUUUCUAGAUUGCUGGUUGCUUCGAGAUAUUAUGGGAUUAUCAGACUGCUUGUAGAUUGGUUUCGAACCUGCCAUUUUUCGUGAAGUUGUUCAUUUCUCCGGCGUUAGUGUUAGAUGAUACGCUGCUCUGCGUAUGUCACAACAACAAUAGCGCAAUAUAAAGAGGCAAAAAUGGAACAACAAUACGCUGCAGGCGUGAAGCGACCAAAAUUGAUGCUGACAAAAAAAAAAUGGAAAAUUCGUGAUUGCGUCAACCCAAAGAGAAUAUACAGCCAGCAGCGAAACUUCGUCUACAAGCACCAUGAGUCAAAUAAUACACAAGAAAGGAAACAUAACUAAGAACAUAUCAUCAACUUUAUUGCAGCCAGAAUUUUUACAAACGAGUUCCACAGGCGAAGAAAGCUCAACGUUAAACCUUCACCCUCAGUUGCUACAUGACUUAUCAUGUAAUUCUAUUGAGCAUUUGGAUUGCAGUACUAAUAUCGAACAAAAUAUUCCAAUGCCUUCCUGCCAGAAGUCAACAAAACAAGAACCGGCAUCUUUUCCAUUCAAUUCUUCUUGUUCCAAACGAUCACGGUGGCGGUACAGGUACGAAUUAUACUUUAUCCGCUUGGAAAACCUUUUAUCCAUUAUUAACACUUAGCAAAUGUUCACAAAAUAAAACUUCUGGCAUAAAAUCUGUUUAAUAAUCACCGCUGCUUUUAGGAUUGUUGUUGUUGUUUUGGCAAUUGGUACGUUUUUGACAUGACAAUUGAAAACAACACGACUGCUGCGAAAAAUACCACCAUAAUCAAGAAAAACAUCCAGAAGAAGAAACACUA